rnacentral:lncRNA from 1 species
CAAUGGGCUAUAUGCACGCAUUACUUCCGCGUUUUGUCUAAGGCCGCGGUCCAGUUUCCGGUCCGGGUGAUUUUAAGCAGAGGUAAACAGUAUUAUGGCAGAGUCGUCAAUAUUUACCUGAUAUUUACUCGCUGUUUGCGAGUAAAUUAUGGUCAACGAUGUGCAAAUGAUUUUCCGGAUGUGCACUACAACACCGCAGAGCAAACUUGAGAAAGGUUUCAAGUUUUAUGCGUCUUCCUACCUGUGCAAUUAUGAAGGUAACAUUAUGAGAUUCAGAGCUAGAAAAGUUUGUGUGUUACUCUAUCCUGGAGCGGACAUCUGUCAGAAAAUCCAUGCCAUCGUCUGCUAGUUAAUAGCUUCUGCUCUUGUGUGGCUGAGAGUGGGAUAUGCAAACAUUUGGUUGCUUUGCUUUUCCAGACAGCCCAUUACUCUGAAAUGUGUAAUUGGUGUUGUCACAUGAACAAUUGUUUGGCAUGGAUCAAUUAUGUGUUAAGUUCCAUGAAACAGAGGGGUGAUUUAUUUAUUUAUUUAAUACAUAACAGCCCAAAUACCUCUCUAUGCACAAGUUAAAGAAGCACCUGAUUCAAGAAAACAACUGAUUCAAUGUUAUUGUUUCUGUUCAUCUGAAUAAAAUAUUUUUUCACAAUUGUACUUUUUUUGACAAUUUUUAUUUCAAAUUAUAUACAGUGAUUUAUAUUUUAUAUGUACAGUGAAUAAAAUAAAGGUCUUUAUUCUGAAUUAAAAAAUAGCACUUAGAAAGUAGCUUAAGAAAUGGUAAUGUAUAUUAAUGUUCAGUUUUUUUUUUACUUCAAAGGCAAUGAAAACAAACUAUUAUUUGCCAUAAAAGCUCCUUUCUUUAAAUGUCUGCAUCCGGUUGGCACUCGAGCCUCGAUCAGUUUGCUAGACUGAAAAUGUCAGCUACACUUUUGUCUUUUUCUGUUUCUGUAAAAUUCUCACGUUUAAUAUCAACAACCCACCUCUUCUGUACGACUUUGUCUUUUGGAAACGUGUGGAAACUAAGGUAAGAGUUCAAUUUCUGACGCUGUGUGUUGCUGAACACAGCAGUGGUAGCUAUAUUUGUCAUAUUUAUGUAGCUGACAUAAACGUAUAUAAGUGGGCUAUAAUGGCAUAAAACAUUAAGACAACUGUCCAAAACAUUACUUGUUUUUAUCAGUAGCGCUCCUGUUGUAGCACUGUAAUGUACGAUCGGCGGAAGUUGGCUCGGGGUCUUAAAUUUUACCGGAAAUGCGUCACGCGCCGCCGUGCAUAGAGCCCAGUA